UCCUACGGGACGCAGCAGUGAGGAAUAUUGGUCAAUGGUCGGGAGACUGAACCAGCCAAGCCGCGUGAGGGAUGAAGGUACAGAGUAUCGUAAACCUCUUUUGUCAGGGAACAAAGGCGGGGACGCGUCCCCGGAUGAGUGUAUCUGAAGAAAAAGCAUCGGAUAACUCCGUGCCAGCAGCCGCGGUAAUACGGAGGAUGCGAGCGUUAUCCGGAUUUAUUGGGCGUAAAGGGCGCGCAGGCGGCACGGCAAGUCUGAUGUGAAAACCCGGGGCUCAACCCCGGGACUGCAUU
rnacentral:rRNA from 1 species